AGUGAACGCUGGCGGUAGGCCUAACACAUGCAAGUCGAACGGCAGCACAGUAAUAGCUUGCUCUUACGGGUGGCGAGUGGCGGACGGGUGGGGAAUACAUCGGAAUCUACUUUUUCGUGGGGGAUAACGUAUGGAAACUUACGCUAAUACCGCAUACGACCUACGGGUGAAAGCAUGGGAUCUUCUGACCUUGCGCGAUUGAAUGCGCCGAUGUCGGAUUAGCUAGUUGGCGGGGUAAAGGCCCACCAAGGCGACGAUCCGUAGCUGGUCUGAGAGGAUGAUCAGGCACACUGGAACUGAGACACGGUCCAGACUCCUACGGGAGGCAGCAGUGGGGAAUAUUGGACAAUGGGCGCAAGCCUGAUCCAGCCAUACCGCGUGGGUGAAGAAGGCCUUCGGGUUGUAAAGCCCUUUUGUUGGGAAAGAAAAGCAGCAGGUUAAUACCCCGCUGUUCUGACGGCACCCAAAGAAUAAGCACCGGCUAACUUCGUG
rnacentral:rRNA from 1 species